AACGUCCAGGUUGGAGUGCAGUAACUGUGACUGGGCGGGCUGACGGAGAGUAAAUACACCAUUAGAUGGCGCUGUGUUACACAACGUCCAGGUUGGAGUGCAGUAACUGUGACUGGGCGGGCUGACGGAGAGUAAAUACACCAUUAGAUGGCGCUGUGUUAAACAACGUCCAGGUUGGAGUGCAGUAACUGUGACUGGGCGGGCUGACGGAGAGUAAAUACACCAUUAGAUGGCGCUGUGUUACACAACGUCCAGGUUGGAGUGCAGUAACUGUGACUGGGCGGGCUGACGGAGAGUAAAUACACCAUUAGAUGGCGCUGUGUUCCACAACGUCCAGGUUGGAGUGCAGUAACUGUGACUGGGCGGGCUGACGGAGAGUAAAUACACCAUUAGAUGGCGCUGUGUUAAACAACGUCCAGGUUGGAGUGCAGUAACUGUGACUGGGCGGGCUGACGGAGAGUAAAUACACCAUUAGAUGGCGCUGUGUUCCACAACGUCCAGGUUGGAGUGCAGUAACUGUGACUGGGCGGGCUGACGGAGAGUAAAUACACCAUUAGAUGGCGCUGUGUUCCACAACGUCCAGGUUGGAGUGCAGUAACUGUGACUGGGCGGGCUGACGGAGAGUAAAUACACCAUUAGAUGGCGCUGUGUUAAACAACGUCCAGGUUGGAGUGCAGUAACUGUGACUGGGCGGGCUGACGGAGAGUAAAUACACCAUUAGAUGGCGCUGUGUUACACAACGUCCAGGUUGGAGUGCAGUAACUGUGACUGGGCGGGCUGACGGAGAGUAAAUACACCAUUAGAUGGCGCUGUGUUCCACAACGUCCAGGUUGGAGUGCAGUAACUGUGACUGGGCGGGCUGACGGAGAGUAAAUACACCAUUAGAUGGCGCUGUGUUAAACAACGUCCAGGUUGGAGUGCAGUAACUGUGACUGGGCGGGCUGACGGAGAGUAAAUACACCAUUAGAUGGCGCUGUGUUCCACAACGUCCAGGUUGGAGUGCAGUAACUGUGACUGGGCGGGCUGACGGAGAGUAAAUACACCAUUAGAUGGCGCUGUGUUACACAACGUCCAGGUUGGAGUGCAGUAACUGUGACUGGGCGGGCUGACGGAGAGUAUAUCAGUCUAUAAGAAGGUCCAUAAUCAGCGGGCAGGAGAUAAGGUCUCAAACCUCUCUACAAGCCACUUAAUCUUUACCACAAGUAAACGGUGGAGAUGGAACUGGCUGGCCAAUCCUGGUUAAAUUAAAGCUGAAGUCAGAAACAUAAGAGGGAGCUUCUGUCAUAGUUAAAUGGUCUCCCAUCCGCAAACUGAUCCCGCUUCAUGUUUAUGCCCAUUUGCUCUAUAAACAUGAUGCAUUCUGGUCAAGGGAUAUACUUCUCAAUAAUGCAUAAAAAUAUACAAUCUACAAUUUUACCACAUGACCGGAGACUUCAUAUUUUGCAUAUCUCUCUUUACUGAAAACUCCAGCAGCACAGAUCAUAAACAGAACGACCAAUCAAAACACAGCUAGAUAUUUCAUAAAAGGCCCUGCCAGUCUAAGCUCCUCCUCUUUCGUUGCUGCUCCUGCAUGCACAGGUCAGAAUAUUUUGUCCUUGUG